GCAUGUGUUUGGGAUUUGUGGCAGGUCCGAUCCCAUGGGCCUCUCACAGUAUCCCAUGACAAAGCAAACUGUCACCCCGAACCAUUGCUUGGCUUUACCCAGUGGGCUUAAGGCACUGAAGCGGGUUGCACAGUG
ensembl:snoRNA